UAGGAUUUGCUCAUGGGGGAACCCUGAACAGCAACGCCGCGUGGAGGAUGACACUUUUCGGAGCGUAAACUCCUUUUCUUGGGAAAGAAUUAUGACGGUACCCAAGGAAUAAGCACCGGCUAACUCCGUGCCAGCAGCCGCGGUAAUACGGAGGGUGCAAGCGUUACUCGGAAUCACUGGGCGUAAAGGACGCGUAGGCGGAUUAUCAAGUCUCUUGUGAAAUCCUAUGGCUUACCAUAGAACUGCUUGGGAAACUGAUAAUCUAGAGUGAGGGAGAGGCAGAUGGAAUUGGUGGUGUAGGGGUAAAAUCCGUAGAGAUCACCAGGAAUACCCAUUGCAAGGCGAUCUGCUUGGAACUCAACUGACGCUUAGGC
rnacentral:rRNA from 1 species